UCCGCGGUAGCUCAGUGGUAGAGCGCUCGCCUGUUAAGCGAUUGGUCCUAGGUUCGAAUCCUAGCCGCGGAG
rnacentral:tRNA from 1 species